UCAACCUUUAGAAGACCAGCAAAUGUUGUGAAGACGUGGAAGCCACUUGAAGUACCAUUUUUCUUGCUUGGUUCAAAAACGGACACAACCCCAUCCAUAUCUGCCGAGCUGGAGCUCAUGCAAGCAGGGCUGGGAAAGAGGGCGUUGUCUAUCACAUCUGACUUAACGCAUGCAGAGUUAUCCAGUUCACUAAGGACAACAUAUCCGAAGAUGAAUGAUCUUCAAGACAGAUGGCUUCUUUUCAAAGCAGCAGGCGGAAAUGGAAGGAGAAAACUGUCUGCAAUCGCAUUAGAGGCAGAGGGAUACACUGGUUCUGUCAUCAAAAGAGCCUCAGGUGGAGGAAAACAGCUGUUAUAUAUAUAGUGCCCCUCCAAGAUGAGUUCGAUUUAACACCACUACCAGCAGAUGCACCGGAAUUUUCUCAUAUGCCAACAGCAACAUGCAAACAAUGCAAGACAGUGAUGCCAUUGCAGAUGUUGGCUCUGCACAUUGACCACUGCAACAACACAUCAAACUCGGAAACUGAGGAGGCAGAUGUGGUGUUCCUGGAAGAAGCAACAUCUCCUAACCCAGUCCUAGGACCUUGUACAGACGCACCAUGGUCCAAUGAGCAACAUUGCUUUCAGCAGGCAGGUGAGGUCCAAUGUCCAAUAUGCACAAGAACAUUUCCAGUGUCAGACAUAGAACUACAUGCAAGCUUCUGCGGUGAAAGGUGACUGUGGGUCAACUUGCAUUAUGUAUCUUUGUUUAUAGGGUUGCUCGA